CCGAGGAAUACAAAUAAAGCUGAUGAAAAUCAACCAAUCAGAGAAAGAGGGUGUGACUGAAGAGGUGUCAAUCAUUCCUUGUGCACUCGCCGACACACUCAAAGCAGUUAAGCCCUGACCUGUGUCUUUGGGAUUCAGUAGGUUUGCUGAAACGGAAUAAAAUGAAUAAACGCUCAUCCCUCAUUUGCCAAAAACUGGGCACGAGACUGGCAAACAGAAAUAGAGUGAAGAAGCAACAACCUUUCAGAGAGGGCGGGACAUCAAGCAGCUGAGAGGAUUCGGAAGUGGCCGGAAGUUACAUUUCGGAUCCACAAGUGGUGAUCGGUUGACAGCUCCGCCCAUCUCUGCACCCGAGUGCCCAAGACACGGAAGUCCAUUGACAUGACCAUCGAAAUGCGGCCCGGAGUGUCCUGGGGCCGAGUGCACGUGGACAUCCUUAUGUCUGGGAAAUCUGAAUCAGAACGCCGCUCGGAUUCUGGUCGGCGAGGGACCAUUCUUCAGGAUCGCGACCCUGCAGGUCUCACCGCCAUGCUCACGUGGGCGAUUACACGAAGUGGUCAUUUGCGCAACAACUGUGAAAAACCGAUGCCCCCUACACGCCCCCACCCCCCUGGACUCGAUCCUAAUUAUUUCAAUUAAAAAAAAAAUGUUUGUUCAAUUUUCGUUUGAUGGUGUGCCGUGAGAUUGCACCUCGGCUAAACAAAUAUUGGGAAUCGCUUGCUAUAAAGUUUAUUUAAGAGACGAUCAAAAUGAA